rnacentral:lncRNA from 1 species
CCCACACUAGCCAACUGUGUGGAAGGUCUUGGCUUGGCUUGCUCCAGAGGUGGAACUUGGGCUCCGGCUGGCACAGCAGCAGGCUGAGAACAACUGAUGUGGGCAGAGGAAGUGCAGGUGCCAUGCUGGUGGGUGAAAAGCUGUCAAUGCGCAGAGAAGACCCUCUCCGAGGUGGCUUCUCCUCCCUUCGGAGGUAGCUGAGAAGCAGCUGGCAGGAAGUGGAAGGCACCGAGUUGCUGGUGCCAUUGCACCCCAGCAGGCGAGGAGGAGCUGGGAAAAGAGAUAACUUCUCCUUGCAGGGUGCUUUCCUCCCGCUAACAAGCCGUCUCUCAGUUUGCCAGCCAGAUUUCCUCAACAUGUGUUUGCACACAUUGGCAGAUGUCCUCCUGACUGCUGGUCACUUGUACGCUGAUAUGGACGUGAACAUGAUGUCAUGGGAAGAAGUGGAGAAAGGAGAGGACAACAGAGGUGAAGCUUGGCUGUUAUUCAAAGGAACAGCCCACACGGCCUUCCACUGCAAGGCUGGCGGAAUGCUUUGGAUCAGCCGGAUCCAAGUUUCCAUGACAUCUUCGUCUUCAUUUGGAUUCCAGAAGUGCUUUACCAUGACUGAGGUUUCACUGCGCUAGAUACUGUCCAAGAGUGUAAUGAGAGACCAGCUCAGCUCCCAUGGGCUUACGUUACAGAUCAACAAAGAGAAAUGAACUAUUCCGAUCUCUGUUUCUGUGGAAGGAGCAAUGAUUGGCUCACAGUCUUCUGAGUCGUCCUGUAACCAUUAAAACCAUCUUUCCACCCUGUUUCGUUUCGCUUGCUUUACUAGAAAACAGUCCUUUCUUUCUCUGAGUCAAUCCGCAUCACCUUUUCGUAGUUCAGGGUUGUCACAAAGGCUGUCCAUCUUUUUAUUUUUUCCUUGAGAAAACUAGGCUAAAAAGCAAAGCAUGACUGCAGACAUCAUACCCACCCUAUUGACCUCUGUUUUCCAAUUCCAGCUCAAUGCACAGCUUGCAAUCAUUACAAAAGGAAUUACACUCUGGCGGCCCACUAAAGACAUGUAGAUGCUCUGCUAUUUGCUAUUCUUUUCCUUUCUGUUUGCUAUAGCCGUUUCCUUUCUACCUGCUGUAUCCAUUUCUUUCUUUCUUUACAAUAGUGUUUGCACUUACACCCUGCUGGGUUCCCUGUCUAAGAUCAUUUUUCUGUAGUUUUUGAAACUCCUGGCCGAAGUCAAUGAAGUUAGUCCAAACUGACACUACUGUUGGUAGAAACAACAUUUGUGUCAAAGGCUUGUCCUGUAUAAUGUCUCAGAGUUGCCCCCUGGCUCUUUUUUUUCUACUGGCAUAUGGGACAAGAUUCUGAACUGGUGUAAAUUAGUGUAACUUCACUGAAAUCAGA